UCUGGGACAUUUUUCUACCUUCCUUGAGGGGGCGUUCAAGGCCUCCCAAUUCUUAAGAAGCCGACCCUUCGAUUCUCAGCAGGGGAGGCCUCGCCGUCAACGCAACAGCCAUCAGUCGGAGUCUGUCUUUGCCGUCGGUCGGAAAACCCAAAGAAAUCCCACGAGUUUAUUAUUAUGAGGACAGAAUUGAGUUUUAGGGAUGAAUUUCCUACCCCCAUUGCCAUUUGUGUUCUGUGAGGUGUCUCCUUUUCAAAAGAAGAGACAGUAGAGUUCCUCCACUUCAAUUCCUUCUUAGCACCAGCCAAUCCCAUCCUGUUUCCGGGUUGACUGCAAGGUGCCCAUCUUCUCGAGUAAAUUUUAAUGUUUCAAUAAUGCAACUUUCAACUGCAAGGUUGUCAUGUUGGUUGGAGGGGAUAAGCUUUCACCUGGUGUUAACGAACAAUAGUCCUCAACCUCAAUGAUUCCAGUGUUGCAUGAACCUGCUGAAAUUCUUUAGAUGAUGCCUGCUUUUCAGAGGUGGCCUCUGAGUAGUGCUCAGCUUCCUCCAACAAUCAUGCUGUCCACCAUUUUCGAACAUUGCUUCUUCUGAGGAGGUUCUUCUUCAGCAAGAGGCUUCUGGGUUGCCUGCUUGUUCUCUCAGAGCGGGGUUGGCUAUUGGAGUCUUUCAAUAGUCUUUUUCUAGGGAGAUCUUUGGGAGAACUGGAUCUUCCUGUAUUCCCGGGAGAGUAAUUGGGAUUGACCCUCCUGGACUCCUGAUAAGGAGGUUCUGCUAGGUAUGCGGGAGAGGGGCAUUGGGUAUAAUAUUUUGCAACAAGCCUGCCAUCUCUUGAAGAACUUGUACUCUCUCCUCGUACUGCUUCCAGAGAGCUUCAUAGUCGGUGAGGGGGACAGUGAGAGGAGCUGACCUGGAGCUUGUACACUAUGGGUCAAGCAUAUGAAGAUAUGCAAACACAGAACCAAGAUGUGUUAUUUAUAAAUUGAUAGGGAAGAUUAUAAUAUCAAGCUAGUUUCUGAGAUUGUGAGUAUGAAGCAGGAGCAAAGCCUUUUGCUCUCUGAAAAGCAGGUAAAAUUUGAGGAAUUGCUGUGGGUUCAUUCAACACUAGAAUCUCCAAAGUUGAGGAUUGCUGUCAGUGAGCCCCAGAGAAGAUUCAUUGGUAAGUCAGUGGUCAAAGUUGCCACUUAUUCCCUCCAACAAUAUGGCAACCUUGCAGAUGGAAGUUUGUAUCACUGAAGCAGUAAAAUCUUCUUAAGAAGAAAGACACCUAGCGUAGAAACUGCAAUAUGGUACUUUGCUGGUGCUGAGAAGGAAUUGAAGUGGUUAAAAUCUGCUGGCUCUUCUUCUGAGAAGGAAUAUGAGCAAAUACAGGGAAAAAUGGAUGAAGUCCAAUUGGAGUUGGAAGAGGAAAGCUGCUUGUCUUUAUUUUUUUUUACCUUUAAGGACAUUAUUUUGUUUGAAGGCUUGAAGCCAAGUUCCCCUAUUCAAUGAACUUAUUUAUUUAUUUAUUUUUGUGUCAUAUUGGGUUUCAGUUGAUUUGAUAUGAUAAAUUCCUUGAUCAAUGGCUGCCCUCAUGAAUGCUAUAGUCCUUGUCCAAGCAUGGGCAUGUGGUGCGGGUUUGAAAUGGUCAAUGCAUGUUUUUUCUUUUUAGGGCUAAACAAAUGGUCAAUGCAUCUGCUUGUGAAGAAUGAGUGGCAUUGGAUUAGCAAAAUUGUCUUGAUUAGAUGCAAAAAAUUGACUGUUAUCAUUUUCUGUUGGCUAUAAACUCACCAAACGUUUGAUCAAAUGGCCCUGUAGAAAAUAAACAUUGUGAAAGGAAGGAGUAUUGAUCUGUUUGUCAUUUGAUUUUUUAUUCGAUCAGGUGUAACUAAUUACUCGUGUUUCAUGGACUUGGCAAUUUAUUGGCAAGUUUGCACAUAAUUGUCUUAUUCAAAAUCCAACCUAGUGAAAUAAGUAUGGUCUUGAAAUUCAAUGGAUUGCUUUCUUUUUUCAAGAGUUGUUUGGUUUUCCUGGUAUUGACUAUUUUCUUUCUGGGUGGAUGUUGAGCUUGUGUUUAUUUCAUGCCUCUCUUUUUCUUUUCUAGUUGAUGUUUCUACUCAUGUGCCAAGGUAAUGAUUUGGUUUUCACGAAACUGUGAUUAUCAUACCAUUCUGUUUGUGUAGGAUCCAUCUAUACAGGCCUCAACCGAAAUGUAUCAGCUGAGGUAUCAUGUUCAAAUAUAGUGACACUACUUCAAUCCAUGCCAUUCUGGGCUGAGAAUUUAUGAUUUAGAAUACUAUACUUGUUAUGCUUUUCACAGUAAAGAAAACGUUGAGCAGUAUCUCGAUCAAUUAAAGGAAUUUUAUCAACUUUUGAUUCUGGUACAGCCUUCCGUUCGAAUGUCAUUAUGAUGCUUUGAGUUUGGAAAGUUAGCUAGCUUCAAUGGUUUCAUUGUUAAUUAGUUGAACAGUAUACAGACAAAAUCCUCCAAUUAAUUUCUCGAAAGAAAUUUUCUUAUUCUUUUUAUUUUUUGGAUUAUGAAAACUUGUUCGUAAAACACUUAGUUUUUGCUUGUGCUUUUAAACAAUGAAGUGGGAAAAAGUUGAAUUUGCAGAUAGCAGAGGAUUUGAGAGUAGAUGAGUGGCAGUGAUGCUAAACAGGCUGUGAAAAAUGAUGCUUUUGCUCUGGUUCUCUUUCUUUUUCAACUUAACCAUGGUUCUUUCUGGGCUUGGGCAACCUGGGCAAUAAAUAUAAAGAAAAAAGGCGCAGUGUAUAUAUGCACAGAUUUUAUUGCUAAAAGUGAAAAAGAAAGAGCACUUAUUUGAUCUGAACUUCUUUUAUGAAAAGAACUGUGUUUUGUCCAAAGCAGAUAGGAUUCGAAAUGAUUGAUGCCUUUCCUGUUUC